UACAGAGGUGGCAAGCGUUGCUCGGAAUCACUGGGCGUAAAGGGCGCGUAGGCGGCCAUUCAAGUCAGAGGUGAAAGCCCAAGGCUCAACCUUGGAACUGCCUUUGAUACUGUUUGGCUUGAGACCGGUAGAGGUAAGUGGAACUGCGAGUGUAGAGGUGAAAUUCGUAGAUAUUCGCAAGAACACCAGUGGCGAAGGCGGCUUACUGGACCGGUUCUGACGCUGAGGCGCGAAAGCGUGGGGAGCAAACAGG
rnacentral:rRNA from 1 species